rnacentral:misc_RNA from 1 species
UGCACGUAAUAUUCUUCUCAGACAGACCCAUGCAUAAGGGAUUCUUUCUGAAAAUCGUCAAAAUCUCUUCUUCAGAUAAACCCCACCUCCUAAAAGCCUCAAUUUUGUCCUCCCAUGUUUUCUGCUUUAUUCCAAGCAAAACUUGUAGUGCCCUAACAAAUUGAAGUUUUGAAGGAUCAAACCCUAUUUUAAUAACCUUCUUAACCCCUUCAGCAAAAUUGAAAGC